UGACUUUGAACAGCAACUGCGGGAGACCUGCAUCCAAAGUCUCGUGGGAAAAUACUUAUAAAAGGGACUUAACGUUUGGAAUACCAAAACUUAUAUUGGAUCUGCUACAACGACUCUUCAUCUCCCAAGAGCAUUGACGUCCUUCCCACACUGCCAGAAGAGCUGGAGGGGACAUCACAGACAUCUGACAGACAGUAAAGCAUCUCUUCAAGCCUGAUUUCAUCCCGUUGGAAGCCCUCCAGACAGCUAGUCUCUCAGGGACCAGUGAGAGCUGAGGAAAAGAAGAAGAAGACGAAGAGAGGAAGAGAGAAGGAGAUGACGAAGAUUAAAGGGGUAGAAAGGACGCCUGGGACUCCCCAGUGAUUCCUCCACUGCCAGUUUUUGGAUCAUCCAGGACAUAGUAGGAACAAGAAA